UAAGGAAUAUUGGUCAAUGGAGGCAACUCUGAACCAGCCAUGCCGCGUGCAGGAAGACGGCCCUCUGGGUUGUAAACUGCUUUUAUUCGGGAAUAAACCUAUCUACGUGUAGAUAGCUGAAUGUACCGAAGGAAUAAGAAUAGGCUAACUCCGUGCCAGCAGCCGCGGUAAUACGGAGGAUCCAAGCGUUAUCCGGAUUUAUUGUGUUUAAAGGAUGCGUAGGCGGCCUAUUAAGUCAGGGGUGAAAGACGGUAGCUCAACUAUCGCAGUGCCCUUGAUACUUAUGGAGUUAAAUGAACGAGAGGUAGGCGGAAUGUGACGAGUAGCGGUGAAAUGCAUAGAUAUGUCACAGAACUCCGAUUGCGAAGGCAGCUUACUAUGGUUUUAUUUACGCUGCGGCUCGAAAGCGUUGGGAUCAAACA
rnacentral:rRNA from 1 species